GCCCAGGUCUCGAUCCCGCACAUGCCAGGAACCCACGCCCCCACUCUGCCUCGCCUCCUCUCACCCAUGGCCGGCGACGCCACGCUCGUCCUCUCCCUCAUGGCCGCCGGCGACCUUCCUCUUCGCGCCCAGCUUCUAACCUGGACCCCCGUCCCCGCGGCCGCCCCUGCCGUCUGGUCCGCCGCCUGGGCGCUCGACUAACAACAGCACCGCCGCUUGCUCCAGAUCUGGAAGCGCGGCGUCGCCUGAAAGCCGGGGCAAUCUCCUCGCGCCGUGGCGCCCCGUGGGGGCACGCCGGUCCCACAUGUGCGCCGUCUGGACGUCGCUGCCGGACGCCGUCUUGGGCGACGGCGCCGACCCGCCACCCCGGUGCCGAUCUCGACCGAGCCGGUGCUCACGAGAUGUCAUCUUCGGCGACCUGGACGAGGAUCUUGCUCAUCUCCGCUGACUGCACGCGGAUCACGCCAUCUCCAUCGACAUGCACACUGAACAUUGACAACACGUACUAGUCCAUGAUAUUUCUCAGGAACAUUUCAAGAACUAUUUGUUACUCGAAUGGAUCCGCUACUGAAACUGACAUACGAGUUAUUGAAAUUGAUGUGAUAUUUGAAAUUGAUCUGUGCAAUUCACUGAAAUAUAUGUAAUUACUUCCCUGUAAUAUAUUUGAAUGUGGUGGUGCAAGUUGUGAAACAAAUUUAUGUGAAAUUUACAUUUCAAUCUGGUGAAACUGAAUUGUUUUAGUGUGUGGAAGUGUUAUAUAUUUCUCAAAACGAUUGGAAUGAUUUUCAGCGAGAUAUGAAUUGAAAUAGCUAUGUUUAGAUGAGCUGUGAAAAUAUGAAAUGACUUCUCUGAAAUAUACGGAACAACUAUUUCUCAUAUUUGUAACUUGUUAAUUCAGUGAGAUAAAUUAUGAAAUUAGUUCCCUGAAAUAUAUUUCAAUGUUGUGUCGCAAGUUGUGAAACUAAUUUCUAUGAAAAUAUAUGAAAUUACUUGUCUGAAAUAUAUGAAACUGCUAUUUCUCAUACUAAUAACUUAUUAUUUCAGUAAGAUAUGUAUCAAAAUAUAUGAAAUUACUUACCUGAAAUAUAUGUAAUUACUUGCUUGAAUUAUAAUUCAAUGUGGUGUUGCAAGUUGUUAAACUAAUUUAUGUGAAAUUUAUGUUUCAUUGUGGUGAAAAUAGAUUAUUUUAGCCUGUGGAAGUGUUAUAUAAUUCUCAAAAUUGAUUGCAAUAUUUUUUGAAACCGUUAAUUCAGUGACAUGUAUUUUUUGAAAUUUAUGUUUCAAUGUGGUGAAACUAGAUUAUUUUAGCCUGUGGAAGUGUUAUAUAAUUCUCAAAAUUGAUUGCAAUGUUUUUUUGAAAUUGCUAAUUCAGUGAGAAACUAAUUUCAAUGUGGUGAAACUAGAUUAUUUUAGCCUGUGAAAGGGUUAUAUAAUUAUCAAAAUUGGAGUAUCUUUCUCAUAUUUGUAACUUGUUAAUUCAGUGAGAUAUGUAAUGAAAAUUAUGAAAUUACUUCCCUGAAAUAUAUUUCAAUGUGGUGUUGUAAGUUGUGAAACUAAUUUCUAUGAAAAUAUAUGAAAUUACUUGUU